rnacentral:rRNA from 1 species
UACGAAGGGGGCUAGCGUUGCUCGGAUUGACUGGGCGUAAAGGGCGCGUAGGCGGUUCGUACAGUCAGACGUGAAAUUCCUGGGCUCAACCUGGGGGCUGCGUUUGAUACGUGCGGACUUGAGUGCGGAAGAGGGUCGUGGAAUUCCCAGUGUAGAGGUGAAAUUCGUAGAUAUUGGGAAGAACACCGGUGGCGAAGGCGGCAUCCUGGACCAAUUCUGACGCUGAGGAGCGAAAGCCAGGGGAGCAAACGGG